UGGCAGACAGAGAAAGCGAUGGGAAGACAACAUUAAAAAAUGGACGGGCUUGCAAUUGAAAGAGGUUCUAUCCGAUGCAAUAGACAGAUCAAGACAGAGGACAGAAGCUGGCAGCGGAUGAUAUCGGAAAGAGACAGUUGGAGAGCUUUCACGAAGGUCAAGGGACACACAUUUGAGACCCAAAGAGAAUCCCUUGCCGAAGACAGGCGCAGAAGACAUCAAUUUGGACUGUAAGUGAUGGGCAUAAGUAAUGACGAACAUCUUGAAAACACAUUUUACACGGCACAACAUAAAACGGUUGAAUUAAUAUGGGAGUUCUAUAACUUAUGCUUUGUAGCCACCAGAUCAACAUAUUUGUAUACAUUGUCUCGUUUAGUUAUUGGCAUUCAAAUGUUAAGAACUGGUUUGUUGAAUCAAAUGGAAAUUGAAAUCAAGCUGAGCUGAGAAAAAGUAACUAAUAAAAAUUAAAAAAAUAUUCAGUUCAAUUAUUUCUGACAUUUGUUACUGGAAUUUACAGUUGCAAUGUGGAAAAAGUCAUAACCCUAAUGUAUAAAUAUAACAUGACAAAACGCAUGUGUACAUAUAUGGUUCAAACUUUGUAUAUAAACAUUUCUAUUUUUUUAAUUAAAAUUUUUUAAUGAGUAUAUAAUUAUUUCUAUAUAUUUAUUUCCUAUCGGUCAAAUUCCGAAGUUUAGUUUAGGUGGGACUUGCCUUACAUAUGUGUGUAAGCAGAAUGUUUAUUAUCUCUUGAUUGCUAUCUAAUGUAGACAUAUUUGGAACUUUGUCCCCAAGAGGAAACAAUUAUACCACUUUGGCGCGUUUAUGGUUUUCAUUACAUUGAUCAUUUUGUCGAAUUUACUUUGAGGUCACUAACUCUGAGUGAACAGUAUGUUAAUAGCAUUUAUUGAAUUAUUACUUUGAGGUCACUAACUCUGUGUGGACAGUAUGUUAAUAGCAUUUAUUGAAUUCUUACUUUGCUUUGUUUCGUUUAGAACGAAUUCUGUUUUGAUUUUUACUGUGUGUUGUGUGUUCUGUGUGGGACAAAGAGAUUUGAAAAGCAAACUGAAUGAUCAGCCAAGAAUGAUGCACAAGGUUUGGUUCUUAAGUUGUUGAUGACAAAACUCCGCUCCAGUCCUUGUCGCAUCACUACGCUAGGUCUUCAACUACUAACCGGCGCACCAAAAAUGUAUAUACCGGUAAAUGUAUAUUUAUGAUAUUCGUAUUAUUAGAGUAUUAUUGUAUUGCCAUUUUAAAGGAAUAUGCUUUAAUUAUGAAUUUAGAACUGAAGUCUGUGAAAUUGUGUUCAGAGGCGUCUCCCUAUAGAACCUAGUCCUUCACGUCACUUCCUGUUUUAUAACGUCACUUCCUCUUUAGUACUGUCACUUCUUCGAUAAUACACGCUACCAUCACUUGAUACACACUACCAUCAUUUCAUACACACUACCAUCACUUGAUACACACUAUCCUCACUUCCCUCCCCUUCCACAUAGAUACAAUAGCACCAUUUGAAAGCUCUGGACGGUCGCCUAGUCUUGCCUACCACCCUCUCCUGCUUGGUUUCUUGGUCACGUGGCUUCAGCUUCUAUGCUGUUUCUGUUUGUUUAUGAACUUCAUCUUAACAACGUUCUUAGGAGUUGAAGACUUAAAGGCAUGCGAAUGGUUUACGUGUGUGCUGUUAAUCACAUUUCAAAAUAAACAUCAUGAUUUUCAACCUAACAAAAAUAAUGACUUAAUUAAACAAGGUCAAUGUCAAAUAUUUACGUAGCAUCGGUAUCGUUGAAAAUAGUCAUUUGUGAAGUGCCGUGAAAACUGGACAAAGGGUGGGGGGCUGGACGUCUUAUACAAACAACAAGAUUGGUCAGUGUACACAACAACGGCCUAAGUCAGACAUUAAUGACAUCAUCUCUAACUUGUAUCCCAAUUAUCUUUCCUUGAACCAAAGGAAUGGAAUCUCUGUUGCACUCUGACUACCCAUCACGACUAAUACAAUUAUAUUCAUUGAAAUUUACUGGAAUAAAUGAGAAUAAGGGACAUUAUCGUGAUUGGUAUUGAUACGAUAUCAUCAAUGACAUAGAAAUCGUCUUGACAUAGUAUCAAGGUUGAUUUUGGCUUGAUCAUUCUUCUCUUCCCUUGUCUUGAUACAUUCUAUACAUACUAGUGUUGAUAAUGUCUUAUUGAGUCUCUCUAUACAUGUUUCUCUUACAUUGCGGUAACCUUUAACCUAGUCUAUGUGUCACAGCUCUGUAGUCUGCACACGACACCAAGUUGACCUACUUUUCAAAGCAAUUUGAUGACUUCUAAAAGUAUACACAUUUGGAAAACAAACAACAAUAUCAACAAAGUACCGGAGCUUUAGUUCUGCACUAGUUACAGACGAAAUAAUUUCAUGAUUUAUUGUGUCUUUCACUGGUGCUAACCUGUACCAAGGUUUCUGAAGAGAAUUAUCACUUAGAAAACAUUCUUUAAACCUCCAUGUUCUUUUCAUUUAGCUUAGUAUAAAAAUCCUAAAGUACUUGGUAUUAUUAUUAUUAUUAUUAUUAUUAGAGUGGAAUAGACACUCAAAAUAAUAUAAGAUAAUUGAAUUAUCAUACAGGCUAAAUAUUUACACGAACGGGCGAGUGAAGGCUUAAGUUCUACAAAGUGCUUUUCGCAGUCAAUUUGUUUCAGUUCAAAAUGGAGUGACUUGUUCUACUCGAGUCUUUAACACCAAAAGUAUAAAGAAAAUAACAAAGAAACAAAGAGACUAGUUUGCAACAAAGUCUCUACAGUAUUUUAUUGUGUGAUUUGCAAGUGAAUUGUACUUUGUUUCUACCAUUUUAAAUGAACAUUUCCCCCCCCCCCUUUUUUUUGUUUGUUACAUUCCAUGUUCGACUCAAACUGUUCUCUCCAGAUAUUUGUUGUUUAAGACUGUAUGCAAUUUUCUGUUAUUUUCAACCUAGAACUAUGUCUCACUUGCAUUGUGUAUCUCCAAUAAAAUAUAUUUCAAAGUCA
rnacentral:sRNA from 1 species